AACGUACGCUGGCGGCACGCCUAACACAUGCAAGUCGAACGAAGUAGCAAUACUUAGUGGCAGACGGGUGAGUAACAUGUAGGUAUCUGCCCUUUGGCCUGGAAUAACACGAGGAAACUUGUGCUAAUACCGGAUAAGUCUUUACGGAGAAAGCUUUAUGCACCAUUGGAUGAGCCUGCACUUGAUUAGUUUGUUGGUGGGGUAAUGGCCUACCAAGACUGUGAUCAAUAGCUGAUUUGAGAGGAUGAUCAGCCACACUGGGACUGAGACACGGCCCAGACUCCUACGGGAGGCAGCAGUAGGGAAUCUUGGGCAAUGGGCGAAAGCCUGACCCAGCGAUGCCGCGUGUGCGAAGAAGGCCCUUGGGUUGUAAAGCUCUUUCGUCGGGGAAGAAAAUGACUGUACCCGAAUAAGAAGGUCCGGUUAACUUCGUGCCAGCAGCCGCGGUAAUACGAAGGGACCUAGCGUAGUUCGGAAUUACUGGGCUUAAAGAGUUCGUAGGUGGUUGAAAAAGUUGGUGGUGAAAUCCCAGAGCUUAACUCUGGAACUGCCAUCAAAACUUUUCAGCUAGAGUAUGAUAGAGGAAAGCAGAAUUUCUAGUGUAGAGGUGAAAUUCGUAGAUAUUAGAAAGAAUACCAAUUGCGAAGGCAGCUUUCUGGAUCAUUACUGACACUGAGGAACGAAAGCAUGGGUAGCGAAGAGGAUUAGAUACCCUCGUAGUCCAUGCCGUAAACGAUGUGUGUUAGACGUUGGAAAUUUAUUUUCAGUGUCGCAGCGAAAGCGAUAAACACACCGCCUGGGGAGUACGACCGCAAGGUUA
rnacentral:rRNA from 1 species